rnacentral:rRNA from 1 species
GACGAACGCUGGCGGCGUGCCUAAUACAUGCAAGUCGAACGCAGUGGGGACGGGUGAGUAACACGUGGGUAAUCUCCCUUCAGAGGGCAUAACAAUUGGAAACAGGUGCUAAAACGAUAUUGAUGGAUGGUUCCGCUGUGCAUUAGCUAGUUGGUGAGGUAACGGCUCACCAAGGCCACGAUGCAUAGCCGACCUGGGAGGGGGAUCGGGCACACUGGGACGGAGAGACGGCCCAGAAUCCUAGGGGAGGCAGCAGUAGGGAAUCUUCGGCAAUGGACGAAAGUCUGACCGAGCAACGCCGCGUGAGAGAAGAAGGUGUUCGGAUCGUAAAACUCUGUUGUUAGAGAAGCGGUAUCUAACCAGAAAGCCACGGCUAACUACGUGCCAGCAGCCGCGGUAAUAC